rnacentral:rRNA from 1 species
GUAAGCUUAUACAUGCAAGCAUCCCCGCCCCAGUGAGAAUGCCCUCUAUGUCAAGCAAGACCCAAAGGAGCAGGUAUCAAGCUCACUCUCAUAGAGCAGCUCAAGACACCUUGCUCGACCACACCCCCACGGGAUACAGCAGUAAUUAGAAUUAAGCCAUAAACGAAAGUUUGACUGAGCUAUACUGCAAUUCAAGGGUUGGUAAAUUUCGUGCCAGCCACCGCGGUCAUACGAUUAACCCUAGUUAAUGAAAUACGGCGUAAAGCGUGAUUAAGGUUACAAACAAAUAAGACUAAGCUUGGACUAAGCCGUAAAAAGCCUUGGUCCCAAUAAAAAUACUUUUCGAAAGUAGUCUUACAACCCCUGAAUUCACGAUAGCUAAGACCCAAACUGGGAUUAGAUACCCCACUAUGCUUAGCCCUAAACAAUUAGAUAUUCAAAAAACAAGAAUAUUCACCAGAGUACUACUGGCAACAGCCUAAAACUCAAAGGACUUGGCGGUGCCUUAUAUCCCUCUAGAGGAGCCUGUUCUAUAAUCGAUAAACCCCGAUAAACCUCACCAUCUUUAGCAAUAUCAGCCUAUAUACCGCCAUCCUCAGCAAACCCUAACAAGGCACCAUAGUAAGCACAAGAAGCAUACGUAAAAACGUUAGGUCAAGGUGUAGCCCAUGAGAUGGUAAGCAAUGGGCUACAUUUUGUAAUUAUAGAACAUCAUCCCACGACAGCUUUUAUGAAAUCUAAAAGCCUAAGGCGGAUUUAGUAGUAAGUUAGGAAUAGAGAGCCUAAU